rnacentral:rRNA from 1 species
ACGGGGGCUGAACAAGCAGUGGAGCACGUGGUUCAAUUCGACGCAAAGCGAAGAACCUUACCAGGGUUUGACAUGCCAGUAGUAGCGACCUGAAAGGGAAGUGAUCCGAACUUCGGUUCGGAAGCUAGCACAGGUGGUGCAUGGCUGUCGUCAGCUCGUGCCGUGAGGUGUUGGGUUAGUCCUUUAACGAGCGCAACCCUUGUCCUUAGUUACCAGCGGGUUAAGCCGGGUACUCUAAGGAGACCGCCGCCAAAAAGCGGAGGAAGGUGGGGAUGAUGUCAAGUCAUCACGCCCCUUAUAUCCUGGGCUACACACGUGCUACAAUGGUCAAAACAAAGGGAGGCAAAGGAGUGAUCCUGAGCAAAUCCCUAAAAUUGGCCUCAGUUCGGAUUGUAGGCUGCAAUUCGCCUGCAUGAAGUUGGAAUUUGCUAGUAAUCGUGGAUCAGCUACGCUACGGUGAAUACGUUCUCAGCCCUUGUACACACCGCCCGUCACACCACCCGAGUUGGAUGCACCUGAAG